rnacentral:rRNA from 1 species
AGCGAACGCUGGCGGCAGGCCUAACACAUGCAAGUCGAACGGACCCUUCGGGGUUAGUGGCGGACGGGUGAGUAACACGUGGGAACGUGCCUUUAGGUUCGGAAUAGCUCCUGGAAACGGGUGGUAAUGCCGAAUGUGCCCUUCGGGGGAAAGAUUUAUCGCCUUUAGAGCGGCCCGCGUCUGAUUAGCUAGUUGGUGGGGUAAUGGCUCAUCAAGGCGACGAUCAGUAGCUGGUCUGAGAGGAUGACCAGCCACAUGGGGACUGAGACACGGCCCAAACUCCUACGGGAGGCAGCAGUGGGGAAUCUUGCGCAAUGGGCGAAAGCCUGACGCAGCCAUGCCGCGUGGAUGAUGAAGGUCUUAGGAUUGUAAAAUCCUUUCACCGGUGAAGAUAAUGACUGUAGCCGGAGAAGAAGCCCCGGCUAACUUCGUGCCAGCAGCCGCAGUAAUAC